GAGUGAGUGAGUGAGUGAUGGAUGGAUGGAUGGAUGGAUGGAUGGAUGGAUGGAUGGAUGGAUGGAUGGAUGGAUGGAUGAGGCCCCACCCUCCCUUCCCUACACGUUGAUCUUAUUCGAUCGGCCGGGCCCCGCCGGGCCGAGGUGAGAAGAAAGCGCCGCGAAGCCCCCGGGCGCUGUGCGGCUGGGCCGGGCGGGAUGAGUCGAUCAGAUAGGCGAGGCCACGGCCGCUGAGCGCCCUGCGAUUCUGACCUGU